CCUACCUUUAACUCUGGGAUAGCCCGAAGAAAUGUCGGAUUAAUACCGGAUAAUAUCAAGAUAUGACAUCACAGCUUGAUUAAAGGCGCGAGUUGGUUAAAGAUGGGCAUGCGUCCCAUUAGUUAGUUGGGGAGGUAACGGCUCACCAAGGCGAUGAUGGGUAGGGGCUCUGAGAGGAUUACCCCCCACAUUGGUACUGAGACAGGGACCAAACUCCUACGGGAGGCAGCAGUGAGGAAUAUUGGGCAAUGGACGGAAGUCUGACCCAGCCAUGCCGCGUGCAGGAAGACGGCCUUAUGGGUUGUAAACUGCUUUUAUGUAGGGAAAAAGUUCAUAUUGCGAUAUGAUUUGAUGGUACUACAGGAAUAAGAAUCGGCUAACUCCGUGCCAGCAGCCGCGGUAAUACGGAGGAUUCGAGCGUUAUCCGGAUUUAUUGGGUUUAAAGGGUGCGCAGGCGGACUAUUAAGUCAGUGGUGAAAUUUUCCGGCUCAACCGGGACAGUGCCAUUGAUACUGAUAGACUAGAGUAUAAUUGACGUAUGUGGAAUGUAGCAUGUAGCGGUGAAAUGCAUAGAGAUGCUACAGAACACCGAUAGCGAAGGCAGCAUACGAAGCUAUAACUGACGCUCAUGCACCGAAAGCGUGGGGAUCAAACAGGAUUAGAUACCCUGGUAGUCCACGCUGUAAACGAUGAUAACU
rnacentral:rRNA from 1 species